rnacentral:rRNA from 1 species
GAUGAACGCUGGCGGCGUGCCUAAUACAUGCAAGUCGAGCGAACGGACGAGAAGCUUGCUUCUCUGAUGUUAGCGGCGGACGGGUGAGUAACACGUGGAUAACCUACCUAUAAGACUGGGAUAACUUCGGGAAACCGUAGCUAAUACCGGAUAAUAUUUUGAACCGCAUGGUUCAAAAGUGAAAGACGGUCUUGCUGUCACUUAUAGAUGGAUCCGCGCUGCAUUAGCUAGUUGGUAAGGUAACGGCUUACCAAGGCAACGAUGCAUAGCCGACCUGAGAGGGUGAUCGGCCACACUGGAACUGAGACACGGUCCAGACUCCUACGGGAGGCAGCAGUAGGGAAUCUUCCGCAAUGGGCGAAAGCCUGACGGAGCAACUCCGCGUGAGUGAUGAGGGUCUUCGGAUCGUAAAACUCUGUUAUUAGGGAAGAACAUAUGUGUAAGUAACUGUGCACAUCUUGACGGUACCUAAUCAGAAAGCCACGGCUAACUACGUG